GACGAACGCUGGCGGCGUGCUUAACACAUGCAAGUCGAACGGAAAGGCCCUGCUUUUGUGGGGUGCUCGAGUGGCGAACGGGUGAGUAACACGUGAGUAACCUGCCCUUGACUUUGGGAUAACUUCAGGAAACUGGGGCUAAUACCGGAUAGGAGCUCCUGCUGCAUGGUGGGGGUUGGAAAGUUUCGGCGGUUGGGAUGGACUCGCGGCUUAUCAGCUUGUUGGUGGGGUAGUGGCUUACCAAGGCUUUGACGGGUAGCCGGCCUGAGAGGGUGACCGGCCACAUUGGGACUGAGAUACGGCCCAGACUCCUACGGGAGGCAGCAGUGGGGAAUAUUGCACAAUGGGCGGAAGCCUGAUGCAGCAACGCCGCGUGCGGGAUGACGGCCUUCGGGUUGUAAACCGCUUUCGCCUGUGACGAAGCGUGAGUGACGGUAAUGGGGAAAGAAGCACCGGCGAACUACGU
rnacentral:rRNA from 1 species